UACGGAGGGUGCAAGCGUUAUCCGGAUUUACUGGGUUUAAAGGGUGCGUAGGUGGGUCUGUAAGUCAGUGGUGAAAUCUCCGAGCUUAACUCGGAAACUGCCAUUGAUACUAUAGGUCUUGAAUUAUCUGGAGGUGAGACGGAAUAUGUCAUGUAGCGGUGAAAUGCUUAGAUAUGACAUAGAACACCAAUUGCGAAGGCAGCUCACUACGGAUAUAUUGACACUGAGGCACGGAA
rnacentral:rRNA from 1 species